UGAGAGGCACUACAUACAUACAUGUCUCUUUUCUCUUGAAGUGGCUGCGCGACUUGACUAUGUGGUUUUCUCUUUUGGCUUCUGCCCACUGCCGUGACCAUCCCUCUUCUCCCUUUGCUGUCGGUGUUAGUCAUCUGUUGUGGUUAACCCGUCGGAUUAUUCUCAGUGUACAAAACAAAAAAAAAAUUCACAGGAUGUUUACAGGCUCUCACAUGGGUGUGGGCUCCAUGUGAAUAUUUUAUUACAAAAAAAAAAAAUCACCCACCUCACUAUUGAGUCUUAUCUUAAUACUUCUAUAAAAUUUCUCCUAAGUGUAGCUUGACUCUUUUGGUGUGUUCUUUGGGAGAUUUCUUCAUGGUUUGAGUGAGGUUAUAUGGUCCAAUUGUUGUGGAGUUGCCUUGUGACUUUUGGAUCGUUCUGAGCCUCGUUAUUACACUUUUGAUUGCAAAUGUUGUUCUUGAUAGGGAGAUUUCUUCAUGGUUUGAGUGAGGUUAUAUGGUCCAAUUGUGUGUGGAGUUGCCUUGUGACUUUGGAUCGUUCUGAGCCUCGUUAUUACACUUUUGGUUGCAAAUGUUGUUCUUGAUAGGGAAGUUCACUUCUUGCAUUAUACUAUUUGAUUCGACUAUUGCUAUUUCCAUUUGAAUUAUUUAAUUUCUUGUUUGAUUCUCUUUGAAGGAAUUAUUUAUUACAACACAUAAGAUCAAGAAGAGCAUAAAUGGGUCUAUUGCUAUGGUACAAGGUUAUCUCGACUCUAAGGGCUUGCUUGGGAGUUCAAUUUUCACCGAUUUUGACUGAUUUUGGAUGGCACCAUUUACGAGAGGUUAAAAAAAUUAGUGUUCGUAUGUUUUUUGGGACACCGAUUUUGGAUGGUUUAAAAAUCACCCAAAAUCAAUAUAGUGUAAUUUUGACCGGUUCUCUCAACCCAUCAAAUUAGCG
rnacentral:lncRNA from 1 species